AACUUAGCAGGGCUUCUUUGGGGUAGACACCCGGUGUCUUUAAAUGUCGUCGCACGUCUCGGAGGGCCUUUCUAGUACCUCGACCGAUCGAAUCGUAUCCCGCUUCGUUCGGACGCAGCCUCGCGGCGUCCGCUGUCGCGUGAGGGCGCCCGAUGGAAGGCUAACGUGAACGCGUCGGUACGCUCGGGGCGAGUCGUUCGGUCGUACGCGGAACGAAAGGAGUUUUCUUUCCGAGACUGCCACCCGGCCCCGUUUGUCUUUUUUUCGUCAACGUGCUUGCGACUGUAACGUAUCGAGAAAAAGGAAAAACGAGAGACAACUUUUAACGGUGGAUCUCUUGGCUCGUGCAUCGAUGAAGAACGCAGCCAGCUGCGAUAAGUAGUGUGAAUUGCAGAAUUCAGUGAAUCAUCGAAUCUUUGAACGCAAAUGGCGCUCUCGGGUUCUCCCGGGAGCACGUCCGUCUGAGUGUCGGCAUACCUUGCCAUCGCGCGAGAAGACCGCGCGGCGUUGAGGUGUCGCGGCGGCCGGCCGCGUCCCUCGAAAUGCAGGAGAACCGCUGGUUAGUGAUCCCCGGAGGCCGAAGAGACGUUGGUUCCCCGGAAUCCGCAGCCGGCUCGGUUCGACAAUAGUGACCCCAUAUCUAUUCUCGACCUCA
rnacentral:rRNA from 1 species